CAAUUUUUGGUAAGUGCGUUUGUAUAGCUGUAUGAAAUUUGUGUCUUGAUAUUGUGUCAGUUUCGUUUCAAACGCAUCCCAUGCAAGAUUUAAAUUUUUCACCCAAACAAAAUUGUUAAUAGGAAUCUCUUCGUCUUUUGUUCAAAGUAUAGUGACAGUAAUACGAGUAGGUGUGCAGUUAAAUACUUAAAAGUGAACAGUUUUCUCAGCCCGAGUUUUCAACAACAAACCAUUGAACAAUAUUUUCGCCUUUGACACUACUAAUUUGAAGUAUUAUCUUAAAGGCAGUGGCUACGGUUACAUGGAAAUGUAACAAUAAUAAAAAUAUUAUUGUUACAUUGGAGACUAAAUGCCGGAAUGCAUGGUUGGGUAAGGACCGGUUAAAUUACGAAUGUAACAAUAAUUAUUGAGGCUACGGUUACAUUUCGUUAUUGUUACAUGAAAAAAAAGCAAUGUACGAUGGGACUAGUAAUAUGUACUAAAUAAUAAAAGUUGAGGACAUUUAUUACAUACAUUUAUAACACAAUUUAUUUACUGUAAUUUUUUAUUUACAAUGACAAUUUCUACAAAUCCAGUAAGUUGUUUUUAAAAGUCCGACACAUUUUUGAUGAACGAAAUUACGUCCUCCACGGAUACGUGUACAUACAGAAUUUCUUAGUAUUUAAGUUACAGUUAGCAAACUUUGCUUUUGAUUAUCAUUUGCGCCAAGUUUUAUAAAGCUGUAUGAAAUGUAUGUCUUGAUAUUGUUUCAGUUUCGUUUAAAACGCAUCCCAAGUUUUUAUUUUUUUUUUCACCAUAAACAAAAUUGGUCCAAAGUAUGAUGACAGUAAUAAGAGUAGGUGUGGAGUUAAAUACUUUAAAAAGUGAAACCAUCGAACUAUAUUUUUCGCCUUUGACAGUCCACACUCCUAAUCUUGAAGUAGUAUCUUUAAGAACAUCAAAAACCAUUAAUACGUAGUAAAACUAUUCAAGUUGUACACCAUUUGUUGAAUAAUAAUAUUUUAUUAUUUAUCAGUAUUAAAUUACAAGUAUUGUUUAGUACAUAUGCAAGAAUGAAGCAAUACAACUAUAGAAGAUUUAAGUUUAAUCAAUCUAGCGUUACGGUACAUUGCUGUUUUUCAUCUAACAAUAACGUAAUGUAACCGUAGCCUCAGUAAUUAUUGUUACAUUUGUAAUUAAUCGGUUCCUCACCCAACUUUGCAUUCCGGCAAUUAGUCUCCAAUGUAACAAUAAUAUUUUUAUUAUUGUUACAUUUCCAUGUAACCGUAGCCAGUGCCUAUCUUAAAAGAACAUCAAAUCCAUUAAUACCUAAAACUAUUUAAAC
rnacentral:lncRNA from 1 species